GGUGUUGUGGUUAAGACAUUGUCAUCGGAGGGCUUUAGACCCUACGGUUCGAGGUUCGAUUCCCGGCACCACCA
rnacentral:tRNA from 1 species